CAUGCAGUCCUCCUACUGGCCCUCGGAUGUGGGACUGUCACUGGGUCUCAUCGCCAAGAGGAGCUGGAGGGCCAGGCAGGCUGAGUUAGUCGCUAAAGGCACACAAAGCUGGUCAGUGGCGGGGCUGGAUUCAAACCUGGAUGUCUGACCCCAGAGCCUGAGUUGUCCAUGAGGGAGACCCUGAAUCCGCACACAGACAAAGAGAUCUGUGGCCUGUUGAACCCUUUCCUGCAGCGUACCCUCUAAGUUCAGGAUUAAACUACCUCACUUACUGCUUACCACGGGAGCCAUACAGCAGGCAUUCUGGUAUCAUCUCUAUUUACAGGAUAGGGACCGGGGGCUCAGAGGAGUUCAUUUGCCAGAUCACCCAGUGGGGACCCAAGCCAGCUCUGCCUGCAGCCCCAUGGCUGACCUGUCUUUAUAGGGGGCCUCCCCUGUCAUUUGCUUCUCUGAAGAGCAUUUCUCUCCAUUUUCUAGAAUGAGAAGAGCAGGAAGGCCUGUUUCUGUUGGCUCGGGUGGGCCGUGGGGCGGAGGCCUGGCUGUGUCUUUGCAGUGUGGCUUUGAUGCUCCCUGGAGGAAGCAGUGUGCGUGGUGGAGGAGAUGGAAGCUUCCAGAAGGGAGGACACCUGAGGCAGUCUGACUGCCCAUAAGCCAGGGACACAAAUAGUUCUCUGAGGGAGGCCAAGGAAAGAACACAGAUGUGGACAGAAUUCUGGGGUGGGGACAGUCACCAGAGCUCCCUGGUGCUCUGAGGUCCCUCGAGGGAGGGGGCUGGGGACAGGAAGUCUUGGCCUUGUUUUUGAGUGUCUCUUGUGUCUGUGUUGGGCUGUGUCCCUUGAGGAGCCAUGGAGUGGGGACUGGCUCUGUUUGUAUCUUCAGCAAUGGAUCCAGCAGAGAAGAUGCCCAGGCUUCCAGACACCCUUGGCCACUCCAGGUUCCCAGGGAUCAAAGACCAAAGAUAUGAAGUUCCAAUGGUGGAGAAUCGAGUGGAGCACAGAAGUGGGGCUGCAGAGCUGCCCAGAUCCCAGGAAAAACUACACAUGCUGAGCUUGAGGCCCAGAGAGAGCAGCACCUCGUCUGUCAUCAAGAUUCUCUGUCAGGUGCUUGCAAGAUAAAAGUAGGACCCUCACCCACACGAGCAAGAACAGAAGGGAGAAGAUGGCACUUCUACGUAUGCAUCUGGAGGUCUGUGUCUAUUUCCCCCAUACAAAAAAAGUCUCCCUUCAAGGAUCCCCUGCUGUGCCAUUCUCUCCUGACACCUUUGAAGGGAGCCAGAAGGGCCUGAGCCAGGGCUGAUGGGAGAAGGGGUCGCCAGGGAAUCCAGUUACCAGACCCUGCCCUACACACCUAGGGCCAACCCGGCUCCAGCAGACAAGGUGCUGGGAGAAACCGGGGCUUCAAGACAUAAAAGCAGAAAACACAAUGUUUUAUUAGUGCUUGAGACAUUUAUUUCCCCAGUUAACAACAAUAAUAAACUCUUUUACGGCUGUGCG
rnacentral:lncRNA from 1 species